UUAAGUUAUUAAGGGCGCACGGUGGAUGCCUUGGCACUAGAAGCCGAUGAAGGACGUUACUAACGACGAUAUGCUUUGGGGAGCUGUAAGUAAGCUUUGAUCCAGAGAUUUCCGAAUGGGGAAACCCAGCAUGAGUUAUGUCAUGUUAUCGAUAUGUGAAUACAUAGCAUAUCAGAAGGCACACCCGGAGAACUGAAACAUCUUAGUACCCGGAGGAAGAGAAAGAAAAUUCGAUUCCCUUAGUAGCGGCGAGCGAAACGGGAAGAGCCCAAACCAACAAGCUUGCUUGUUGGGGUUGUAGGACACUCUAUACGGAGUUACAAAGGACGACAUUAGACGAAUCAUCUGGAAAGAUGAAUCAAAGAAGGUAAUAAUCCUGUAGUCGAAAAUGUUGUCUCUCUUGAGUGGAUCCUGAGUACGACGGAGCACGUGAAAUUCCGUCGGAAUCUGGGAGGACCAUCUCCUAAGGCUAAAUACUCUCUAGUGACCGAUAGUGAACCAGUACCGUGAGGGAAAGGUGAAAAGCACCCCGGAAGGGGAGUGAAAUAGAACCUGAAACCGUGUGCUUACAAGUAGUCAGAGCCCGUUAAUGGGUGAUGGCGUGCCUUUUGUAGAAUGAACCGGCGAGUUACGAUUUGAUGCAAGGUUAAGCAGUAAAUGUGGAGCCGUAGCGAAAGCGAGUCUGAAUAGGGCGUUUAGUAUUUGGUCGUAGACCCGAAACCAGGUGAUCUACCCUUGGUCAGGUUGAAGUUCAGGUAACACUGAAUGGAGGACCGAACCGACUUACGUUGAAAAGUGAGCGGAUGAACUGAGGGUAGCGGAGAAAUUCCAAUCGAACCUGGAGAUAGCUGGUUCUCUCCGAAAUAGCUUUAGGGCUAGCCUCAAGUGAUGAUUAUUGGAGGUAGAGCACUGUUUGGACGAGGGGCCCCUCUCGGGUUACCGAAUUCAGACAAACUCCGAAUGCCAAUUAAUUUAACUUGGGAGUCAGAACAUGGGUGAUAAGGUCCGUGUUCGAAAGGGAAACAGCCCAGACCACCAGCUAAGGUCCCAAAAUAUAUGUUAAGUGGAAAAGGAUGUGGCGUUGCCCAGACAACUAGGAUGUUGGCUUAGAAGCAGCCAUCAUUUAAAGAGUGCGUAAUAGCUCACUAGUCGAGUGACACUGCGCCGAAAAUGUACCGGGGCUAAACAUAUUACCGAAGCUGUGGAUUGUCCUUUGGACAAUGGUAGGAGAGCGUUCUAAGGGCGUUGAAGCAUGAUCGUAAGGACAUGUGGAGCGCUUAGAAGUGAGAAUGCCGGUGUGAGUAGCGAAAGACGGGUGAGAAUCCCGUCCACCGAUUGACUAAGGUUUCCAGAGGAAGGCUCGUCCGCUCUGGGUUAGUCGGGUCCUAAGCUGAGGCCGACAGGCGUAGGCGAUGGAUAACAGGUUGAUAUUCCUGUACCACCUAUAAUCGUUUUAAUCGAUGGGGGGACGCAGUAGGAUAGGCGAAGCGUGCGAUUGGAUUGCACGUCUAAGCAGUAAGGCUGAGUAUUAGGCAAAUCCGGUACUCGUUAAGGCUGAGCUGUGAUGGGGAGAAGACAUUGUGUCUUCGAGUCGUUGAUUUCACACUGCCGAGAAAAGCCUCUAGAUAGAAAAUAGGUGCCCGUACCGCAAACCGACACAGGUAGUCAAGAUGAGAAUUCUAAGGUGAGCGAGCGAACUCUCGUUAAGGAACUCGGCAAAAUGACCCCGUAACUUCGGGAGAAGGGGUGCUCUUUAGGGUUAACGCCCAGAAGAGCCGCAGUGAAUAGGCCCAAGCGACUGUUUAUCAAAAACACAGGUCUCUGCUAAACCGUAAGGUGAUGUAUAGGGGCUGACGCCUGCCCGGUGCUGGAAGGUUAAGAGGAGUGGUUAGCUUCUGCGAAGCUACGAAUCGAAGCCCCAGUAAACGGCGGCCGUAACUAUAACGGUCCUAAGGUAGCGAAAUUCCUUGUCGGGUAAGUUCCGACCCGCACGAAAGGCGUAACGAUUUGGGCACUGUCUCAACGAGAGACUCGGUGAAAUCAUAGUACCUGUGAAGAUGCAGGUUACCCGCGACAGGACGGAAAGACCCCGUGGAGCUUUACUGUAGCCUGAUAUUGAAAUUCGGCACAGCUUGUACAGGAUAGGUAGGAGCCUUUGAAACGUGAGCGCUAGCUUACGUGGAGGCGCUGGUGGGAUACUACCCUAGCUGUGUUGGCUUUCUAACCCGCACCACUUAUCGUGGUGGGAGACAGUGUCAGGCGGGCAGUUUGACUGGGGCGGUCGCCUCCUAAAAGGUAACGGAGGCGCUCAAAGGUUCCCUCAGAAUGGUUGGAAAUCAUUCAUAGAGUGUAAAGGCAUAAGGGAGCUUGACUGCGAGACCUACAAGUCGAGCAGGGUCGAAAGACGGACUUAGUGAUCCGGUGGUUCCGCAUGGAAGGGCCAUCG
rnacentral:rRNA from 4 species